AGAGUUUGAUCCUGGCUCAGAUUGAACGCUGGCGGCAGGCCUAACACAUGCAAGUCGAACGGUAACAGGAAGCAGCUUGCUGCUUCGCUGACGAGUGGCGGACGGGUGAGUAAUGUCUGGGAAACUGCCUGAUGGAGGGGGAUAACUACUGGAAACGGUGGCUAAUACCGCAUAACGUCGCAAGACCAAAGAGGGGGACCUUCGGGCCUCUUGCCAUCAGAUGUGCCCAGAUGGGAUUAGCUAGUUGGUGAGGUAACGGCUCACCAAGGCGACGAUCCCUAGCUGGUCUGAGAGGAUGACCAGCCACACUGGAACUGAGACACGGUCCAGACUCCUACGGGAGGCAGCAGUGGGGAAUAUUGCACAAUGGGCGCAAGCCUGAUGCAGCCAUGCCGCGUGUAUGAAGAAGGCCUUCGGGUUGUAAAGUAUUUUCAGCGGGGAGGAAGGUGUUGUGGUUAAUAACCACAGCAAUUGACGUUACCCGCAGAAGAAGCACCGGCUAACUCCGUGCCAGCAGCCGCGGUAAUACGGAGGGUGCAAGCGUUAAUCGGAAUUACUGGGCGUAAAGCGCACGCAGGCGGUCUGUCAAGUCGGAUGUGAAAUCCCCGGGCUCAACCUGGGAACUGCAUUCGAAACUGGCAGGCUUGAGUCUUGUAGAGGGGGGUAGAAUUCCAGGUGUAGCGGUGAAAUGCGUAGAGAUCUGGAGGAAUACCGGUGGCGAAGGCGGCCCCCUGGACAAAGACUGACGCUCAGGUGCGAAAGCGUGGGGAGCAAACAGGAUUAGAUACCCUGGUAGUCCACGCCGUAAACGAUGUCUACUUGGAGGUUGUGCCCUUGAGGCGUGGCUUCCGGAGCUAACGCGUUAAGUAGACCGCCUGGGGAGUACGGCCGCAAGGUUAAAACUCAAAUGAAUUGACGGGGGCCCGCACAAGCGGUGGAGCAUGUGGUUUAAUUCGAUGCAACGCGAAGAACCUUACCUGGUCUUGACAUCCACAGAACUUUCCAGAGAUGGAUUGGUGCCUUCGGGAACUGUGAGACAGGUGCUGCAUGGCUGUCGUCAGCUCGUGUUGUGAAAUGUUGGGUUAAGUCCCGCAACGAGCGCAACCCUUAUCCUUUGUUGCCAGCGGUCCGGCCGGGAACUCAAAGGAGACUGCCAGUGAUAAACUGGAGGAAGGUGGGGAUGACGUCAAGUCAUCAUGGCCCUUACGACCAGGGCUACACACGUGCUACAAUGGCGCAUACAAAGAGAAGCGACCUCGCGAGAGCAAGCGGACCUCAUAAAGUGCGUCGUAGUCCGGAUUGGAGUCUGCAACUCGACUCCAUGAAGUCGGAAUCGCUAGUAAUCGUGGAUCAGAAUGCCACGGUGAAUACGUUCCCGGGCCUUGUACACACCGCCCGUCACACCAUGGGAGUGGGUUGCAAAAGAAGUAGGUAGCUUAACCUUCGGGAGGCCGCUUACCACUUUGUGAUUCAUGACUGGGGUGAAGUCGUAACAAGGUAGCC
rnacentral:rRNA from 1 species